rnacentral:lncRNA from 1 species
AGGAUUGAGAUGAGAUCGUCCUGGAUUAAGACAAACCCUAAAUCCAAUGAAAGUAUCCUUACAAGAGCCAGAAAAGAAAACAUAGGAGACACACGGGAGAACGCCACGUUACGAUAGAGACAGAGAUUGCAGUUACGCUGCCAGAGCCAAAAAUCCACGGGAGCCACCAGAAGCUGAAAGAGUCAAGGAAGGAUCGUCCUCCAGAGCUUUGGAGGGAAUGUGGCUCCUGGCCUCCAAAACUAUGCAAGAGUACAUUUGUGUUGUUUUAAGGCACUAAGUUUACGGUAAUUUAUCAUGGCAGCCCUAGGAAACUAAUCCCCUAGCUUUAAUGGACAAAAAUACUGCACGCUGCUUCUGCUGCUAAUAAAUGGCCAGCUGACAAACUCCAGGAAAAGGAGAAAGCAGUUAUAGACAGGGUUUCACCAUGUUGGCCAGGCUGCUCUUGAACUGCUGACCUCAAGUGAUCCAUCCGCCUCGGCCUCCCAAAGUGAUGGGAUUACAGGUGUGAGCCACCAUGCCCAGCCUUCAACAAUAAUUUUUGAUGUACUCUCUCUGCCAGCAAUAACUGAUACGAUGGAGUAGAAAGAUCAAGGACAGAGAUGGAGACACCAAAGAAGAAAUAAAUUAAAUGGCAUCUCCAAAUCAAUGGUAAACCAGGGAAAUGAACUGAAUCAGUUCCGUCUGUCUCCUCAUGUUUAAGGAAUGAAUAAUUUGUACUCUGGGAGAUAUAUAAAGCAUGAGAUGGUAUCCACUUCAAUGGACUGUUUCCAGAACUCCGUGUUCAGAAUCUGACUCAGGAGAAAUGAAUAAUUUCUCUUCAGGCCACGAUUAUAGAGGACGUAUCUGUGCUAUUCAUAAGGUCGGACCAAAGAUGGUUCUGAGCAGACAUGGGUAUCCCUUUAUUCAUUUACUCAUCAAAAGAAGGGCUUGAUCAACUUCAACCACAAGCUUGAGCCACUGUAUUCCCUAAGAUAAUUUAUGUAAGUUAAAACAUUGGAAUGGAACAAAAGCAUGAGAUUAUCUUAAAAAUUUUGUAUCUCAUGCUCAGAUUUGAGAAUUUAUGUAUGCUUGACACUUUAUAGUAUCGUUAUUGGAGAACAGAAGAUGCCUGCCUACCCACACUGAAGUUAUGACUAGACGUCAACACUGUCUGUUACUUGGGUCAUCUAAACUUUGAAAGCAAUGACCAGGGGAUCUUUGUGAAAUGUUUCCCUAAAUGAAUUCUUUUUGACUAUUGUUCCUAAGAUUGCUUCAACUUUUGAAACAAAAGAAAGAAAAUCCUAUCAUCAGAGGACUGAAAAUUCAGUGCAGAAAUAUUACUUAAUAAUGUGAUAUUACUUAAUACUACUUUAUGAGGACAAAAAAAGGAAUGUUAUUAAAACAAAACUGGAAAACU